rnacentral:tRNA from 1 species
GUUUAAGUAGUGAAAUUGAUCACAUCACCUUUUCGAGGUGGAGAUAACUGUUUUAGUUCUUAGAUA